rnacentral:rRNA from 1 species
UCCUACGGGAGGCAGCAGUAGGGAAUCUUCGGCAAUGGACGAAAGUCUGACCGAGCAACGCCGCGUGAGUGAAGAAGGUUUUCGGAUCGUAAAGCUCUGUUGUAAGUCAAGAACGUGUGUGAGAGUGGAAAGUUCACACAGUGACGGUAGCUUACCAGAAAGGGACGGCUAACUACGUGCCAGCAGCCGCGGUAAUACGUAGGUCCCGAGCGUUGUCCGGAUUUAUUGGGCGUAAAGGGAGCGCAGGCGGUCAGGAAAGUCUGGAGUAAAAGGCUAUGGCUCAACCAUAGUGUGCUCUGGAAACUGUCUGACUUGAGUGCAGAAGGGGAGAGUGGAAUUCCAUGUGUAGCGGUGAAAUGCGUAGAUAUAUGGAGGAACACCAGUGGCGAAAGCGGCUCUCUGGUCUGUCACUGACGCUGAGGCUCGAAAGCGUGGGUAGCGAACAGGAUUAGAUACCCUGGUAGUCC